rnacentral:lncRNA from 10 species
UUUUCUUUCCUUUUUUUUUUUUUUUGAGAUGGAGUCUCGCUCUGUCACCUAGGCUGGAGUGCAGUGGCACGAUCUUGGCUCACUGCAACCUCUGCCUCCCAGGUUCAAGCGAUUCUCCUGCCUCAGCCUCCCGAGUAACUGGGAUUACAUGUGCCUGCCACCAGGCCCGGCUAAUUUUUGUAUUUUUAGUAGCGAUGGGGUUUCACCAUGUUGGCCAGUCUGAUCUCGAACUCCUGACCUUGUGAUCUGCCCGCCUCAGCCUUCCAGAGUGCUGGGAUUACAGGCAUGAGUCACCGCCCCCAGCCUUACCAGUGUUUUUCUAAGAAAUCUUUUCCUAAACUGUAAAAAGUUUUUCUGUCUGCAGGGCCGAUUAACUUUCAAGAACGGGCGUGUGUACGAAGGCGCAUUCUCCAAUGACCACAUAGCUGGGUUUCCGGAUCUUGAAGUUGAAUUCAUCAGCUGCCUGGACCUGUCUUCAGGAGUUGCCCCAAGACUGUCCAGGAGCGCCGAACUGAUCAGAAAGCUUGAUGGCAGUGAAAGUCAUUCUGUGUUGGGAUCGAGCAUUGAGCUGGAU